CAGCAGCCACGGGAAUACAGAGGGUGCGAGCGUUAAUCGGAUUUACUGGGCGUAAAGCGUGCGUAGGCGGCUAAUUGAGUCGGAUGUGAAAUCCCCGAGCUUAACUUGGGAAUUGCAUUCGAUACUGGUUAGCUAGAGUGUGGGAGAGGAUGGUAGAAUUCCAGGUGUAGCGGUGAAAUGCGUAGAGAUCUGGAGGAAUACCGAUGGCGAAGGCAGCCAUCUGGCCUAACACUGACGCUGAGGUACGAAAGCAUGGGGAGCAAACAGGAUUAGAUACCCCAGUAGUCCCUGUCUCUUAUAC
rnacentral:rRNA from 1 species